rnacentral:rRNA from 1 species
UACGUAGGGUGCGAGCGUUAAUCGGAAUUACUGGGCGUAAAGCGUGCGCAGGCGGUGAUGUAAGACCGAUGUGAAAUCCCCGGGCUUAACCUGGGAACUGCAUUGGUGACUGCAUCGCUCGAGUAUGGCAGAGGGGGGUAGAAUUCCACGUGUAGCAGUGAAAUGCGUAGAGAUGUGGAGGAAUACGGAUGGCGAAGGCAGCCCCCUGGGUCAAUACUGACGCUCAUGCACGAAAGCGUGGGGAGCAAACAGG